GACCGGGUCUCAUAAUCCGUCCAUUUGCUCGUGUUACAGGAGUCUCUUUGGGUACCGCGGUUGGGCCUUGCAAUUUUUUUUUUUGUGUUUUUUCCAAUAGCACAAAAAGAAACCCUAGAGUCCAUAUAUCUUAAUAAAAGCGGGUCCUUUGAUUUCUUUCCGACUCCAGCUCCUUUCUAGGGUUCGCGGAAGCAACAGGGGCAAACGAGCUGGAGAAAAAGCAAGAUCUUGAGAAGUGAAAAAAAAUCAAGCUACUUAAUGGCCGGACAGAGAAACAACUAUGGUAAACGAUCCCACUCUCAGUCAGACUAUGCUGACAAUGGAGCAAGCAAGAGAAGGAAUCCUGGUGAAGAAAGAGAUCCCUAUGUUCCUGGGCCGGAAGAUACUGUUUAUCGUUACUUGUGUCCUGGAAGAAAGAUAGGAAGCAUCAUCGGGAGGGGUGGUGAGAUUGUGAAGCAACUGAGGUCUGAUACACAAGCUAAGAUUAGGAUUGGUGAGACUGUACCUGGAUGUGAUGAGCGAGUUAUAACCAUAUUUAGUACAAGCAGAGAAACGAAUUCUUUUGAAGAUACUGGUGAUAACAUUUGCCCUGCGCAAGAUGCCCUCUUUAGAGUGCAUGAGAGGCUUGUCACAGAUGAGGCACCUGGUGAUGAAGAUGCAGAUGCAGGUGCCCCUCAAGUUACUGUCCGUCUGCUUGUGCCAUCAGACCAGAUUGGCUGUAUUAUUGGGAAAGGGGGACAAAUUAUACAAGGCAUACGUAGUGACACUGGUGCUCAAAUUCGCAUUUUGAAAAAUGAACAUCUUCCUGCUUGUGCUAUCAGUAGUGAUGAGCUUCUGCAGAUUACCGGGGAAGCUGCAGUUGUUAAAAAAGCUCUUCUUCAAGUUUCAUCUCGCCUCCAUGAUAAUCCAUCUCGUUCACAACACCUGCUUGCUUCCAGCAUGUCCCAGUUAUACCCACUAGGUGGUCAGUUUGGGGUUCCAAGUGCCAGUGCUCCAGUUGUGGGUAUGGGUCCGUUAGUGGGUCCUUAUGGAGGUUACAAGGGUGAUGCUACAGGAGAUUGGCCAUCUUUCUACCCACCUCCAAGGGAUGAAAGUUCUGCAAAGGAGUUUAGCUUACGUCUAUUAUGUCCUUCUGUCAACAUAGGUGGUGUGAUUGGCAAGGGUGGGGCCAUUAUUAAACAGAUCAGGCAGGAAUCUGGAGCAUAUAUCAAAGUAGAUAGUUCCUCUGCGGAAGAUGACUGCAUAAUAUCUAUUUCAGCGAAAGAGUUCUUUGAAGACCCGAUUUCUCCCACCAUAGAUGCUGCAGUACGCUUACAGCCUAGAUGUAGUGAGAAAACUGAGAGAGAAACUGGUGAACCUUCAUAUACUACCCGCCUACUUGUAUCGACAUCACGCAUUGGUUGUCUAAUUGGUAAAGGGGGGACUAUCAUAUCUGAAAUGAGGAGAAGCACCAGGGCUAACAUACGCAUACUUUCAAAGGAAAACCUUCCCAAAGUUGCUGCUGAAGAUGAUGAGAUGGUUCAGAUCAGUGGCGACCUUGAUGUUGCCAGAAAUGCUCUUAUACAAGUAACAACACGGCUGAAAGCCAAUUUCUUUGAAAGGGAGAGUGCGCUGUCUGCAUUUCCAUCUUCUGUUCCCUACCAUCCCUUGCCAAGUGAUGCUUCUGACGGGUCAAAAUAUGGGAGCAAGGAUAGCAAGGCAUAUGGCCGUGGAUAUUCUUACUCUGGUGGAUAUGGUGCUUCAGGUGAUUUGAUGUCCUCUGACAACUAUGGAAGUUAUGGUGGUUCUCAGGGUGGUGGUAGCAGUUACAGCACAUAUGGUGGGUACUCUGCUCGUUCUGGAAGCACUGGGCUUUGCAGAGGAGAAGCAUUCAUGCCAUUAUUCCAUGCUAAGCAACUGUGUUGAAGGUAGGCGAUUUGAAUCAGCUUAAUUCAUGGGGCAACCAUUGCUUGAAGCUGGUUUGUGAGCUGUAUCAUGUUGUUGGAUAUACUUACAUGUGAGAUUGUUUUGCAGGUUCUGGGAACUACGGGUUUUUACUUAGAAGGCUGGUAAGUAUUCCGCUCAAUGGUCAUUAAUCACUUCUAAGAAAUCUUCCCACCUAACUUGGUCACAGGAUAGUCUAAACUUUAGACUCCAAAUCGUGACUUAGCUAGCCUGGAGAAGCCUUAUGUGCUUCUCUUUGGUGUAUGGUCAUAGUACGUGAUAUAUCAGCUUGCUUAAAGAGGGUUUUGAUGUUGUACAAAUGUGAACUGAUGCAAUUACCGACUUUUCUUUUAGUUCUGUGCUCCUACAUUCCUAACUAGAAUCAUCAUACUCAACCGCACUUGGCUUGAUUUGGUUAAACUUUAAGAAUAGAUUGGUUCAUUCCCUGUUUUUUCAUUUUUAAGAAAACUUGAUUUGAGUGCUUCUUGUUCCAGGUCAAAGGUGUCUGGUACAUGUGCAUAUACAUUAUGUAAUAUCUUAUAUGUGAAGUGUAUAAUAUGAUAUAUAUCUGCUUGGUAUUUAUUAUUUCAUGUAUUCGUGGUUCAUAUCUAUUUUUGUAUUGUUGAUUAGACAUGUUUUGUUCAAGAUUAAUAGUUUAUUCUUUUGGGUUCUUUUAUUGUCUGAUUUUCCUGCAUAGAUUAUUUCUUAAUUUAUGUUGUCUCUGGUACUUAAUGGUCGAACAGAAACAACAGAUCGUUUUACUUCUGUGAUAAAAAAUAUUAAUUUCUAGCGAAUCCAAGAACUGAUUUGAAGCAACCCAAUCUUGUCUGGUUUUGCUGUCCGGUUCCAGCUUGAUUAUUUCAUGUGUUCAAAAGUUGACAACUGGUUAGGAUUGGCUCCGUUUUGUGCUGACACUUGAUUCAGCCAUUUGCACUCCUACUCCAAGUCAGUAUAAGAUGAUUUGCUCAGAAAUAGGUAUUCUUUGUUGACAUUUUUCAUUAAUAAUAUUGUCUUGAUUGAUCUAUAACAUAUAAGAAUUAGGUAUAGGUUCAGAAAAAUCAAGAAUAGAUCGAUAUUUUAUUAAAAAUAUCAGUGAUUGUUUUUCAUAAAAUGAUCAUUCAUAUUAUUGAGUACUUGCAGAAUAUGUUAGACAUCAGGAUAGAUACUUAAUUUUCUGCUUUUGAAAUGCUAUUUCGCUCCCCUAAACUCUUCCAUUGGGAACUUCUGACGCUCUUUUUGUAAAAAUGAAUCUAGUGUUCUAUGGUUUUAAGCUGGCUGCAAUGUUGUAUUUUUGAAAGGUAGUCCUAUGAUCAGUUCAUAAUUGCCUUAAUGUGUCAACAUUUUGUCUGGGUUCCAUUCUUGCUUUCUGCAAAUCUCUCUCUUUACUUUGUUCCCACAAGUGUUCCUCUUACUCUUUUGCUUGUAAAACCCUCCUAUCAAUUCUCUUCUCUGUUGAAAUCUGUACUUUGUGUAUAUGCACAUGAAAUGUUCUUUAUGGUUAUGAAGCAAAUGUUGAAAUUGGUUAUGUUGAUACAUGAUUCUAAUUUUGCUAAUUGUUUGAUUCUUUAUGUGAAACUGUAAUGGGCAUGAAAGAAAGGUCCUGUGAUGAGUCCUGAAACCAGUUCUCUCAGUCGUAUUUAGAGGUAUAUAGGCAGAAGCUAAAACAAGAUGUUAGAUGGGAUCCUUUAAUUACUUGAAACUACUAUGAUCUAGCAUACUUAACGCAUUUUUUACAAAGAAAUGUUAUACAUUAUGCUAAAAAGGAAGAUUUAAUGAUGUUCAUGCUAGGAGAGUACUUCGUUUCACCAUCCUGAUUAAAUUCUAAAGUACAAUAAUCUUGCUGUUUGACUGAAGAUUAAUGGUUUUGUUCAAUCAUAAUUAUUUUCUAAUGUCUUAGUUAUUUGAAUUUUGCAAUUGCCUUUCUUUUUUAGAUUUUGAUUUUUUUCCCCCUAUUUAUGAUUGCCUAACGAGCCCACACACAUAAUAAACCCCAAAUAGAAGCACACACAGAGGUGCGUGUAAAGCCCUAGGAAAAACAACAGCAACGAAAACCAAAACCAGGAGAUCUAAUGGAAAAUAUCUUAUUCUCAUUGCAGAUACUUUCCAAAUAUACUCGAGACACUUCCUGAUACCUCCUCUAAGUAUGAGGGUUGCUUUCUUUUUUUAUUUAGUGAUAACAUUUUAAUGAUGAAUGAUCAAUUUUUUAGUCUAUAAUAUUAGUAUCAUUAAUAUUAAAAUGGAGUAUGGAUUGAGACCUAUAAAUUUGAUAAUGAUCAAAUAUUGAGCUUGCAAAAGUUGGUAUGUGAUACGAUUGUUUUAAAGUGUGGACUACAUUAUUUUGCUAAUGUGAUAUGCUUUUAAAGCAAUAAAUGCUUUUUCUUUUUUUACAUCCAGUCGUAUAUAUUGAUGUGUAUGUCAUACACAUACCUCCAUACAUGCAUACAUACAUACACAUAUGCCCAUGCAUACAUACAUACAUGCAUACCAUAUUGAUGUAUUGUACCAUUUCUUACUUUUCAGGGUUUGCUAUGUUGGUGUAUUUGUGUCUUGUCAUAUCUGCUUCCCUUGCUUGUUUGCAUAAUAUUGUGCACUUACAUAUUCAUGUAUUGUAGCCGUACCAUAUCGUUGCAGGUUUUGCCAUAUUGGUGUAUCUGCUUGUUUUGCAUGAUAUCGCAUAUAGAUGGAAGGACAUACUAGUAUAAAUGGCAAGAACUUUUUUGGUUGAAUGUCAAUUUCUUUAAGAUUAGUUUUAUUGUUAAUGAAUUUUGGAUCCUAUGUAAGAAUAUGUCCGUUCAAUAUAAUGUAGAGAAGAAAGCAUCAUUUUGUCAAAGCUGUCAUUAUUAUUGAUAUUCAAGUUCCUGAUUUUCAUUUGAUUUUUUAAUCUUCAACAACUCUGCUAGGAGCCUUUUACAGUUCUUUAAUGGUGUAUAGAGAUCUGCCGCUGCAUAAUUCCAAUCA